rnacentral:rRNA from 1 species
AUUGAACGCUGGCGGCAUGCCUUACACAUGCAAGUCGAACGGCAGCACGGGUGCUUGCACCUGGUGGCGAGUGGCGAACGGGUGAGUAAUACAUCGGAACAUGUCCUGUAGUGGGGGAUAGCCCGGCGAAAGCCGGAUUAAUACCGCAUACGAUCUACGGAUGAAAGCGGGGGACCUUCGGGCCUCGCGCUAUCGGGUUGGCCGAUGGCUGAUUAGCUAGUUGGUGGGGUAAAGGCCUACCAAGGCGACGAUCAGUAGCUGGUCUGAGAGGACGACCAGCCACACUGGGACUGAGACACGGCCCAGACUCCUACGGGAGGCAGCAGUGGGGAAUUUUGGACAAUGGGCGAAAGCCUGAUCCAGCAAUGCCGCGUGUGUGAAGAAGGCCUUCGGGUUGUAAAGCACUUUUGUCCGGAAAGAAAUCCUUGGCCCUAAUACAGUCGGGGGAUGACGGUACCGGAAGAAUAAGCACCGGCUAACUACGUG